rnacentral:rRNA from 1 species
UACGAAGGGGGCUAGCGUUGUUCGGAAUUACUGGGCGUAAAGCGCACGUAGGCGGAUAUUUAAGUCGGGGGUGAAAUCCCGGGGCUCAACCCCGGAACUGCCUUCGAUACUGGGUAUCUUGAGUUCGGAAGAGGUGAGUGGAAUUGCGAGUGUAGAGGUGAAAUUCGUAGAUAUUCGCAGGAACACCAGUGGCGAAGGCGGCUCACUGGCCCGAUACUGACGCUGAGGCACGAAAGCGUGGGGAGCAAACAGG